UACGAAGGGGGGCUAGCGUUGUUCGGAAUUACUGGGCGUAAAGCGCACGUAGGCGGGUUAUUAAGUCAGGGGUGAAAUCCCGGAGCUCAACUCCGGAGCUGCCUUUGAUACUGGUAAUCUAGAGAUCGGAAGAGGUUAGUGGAAUUCCCAGUGUAGAGGUGAAAUUCGUAGAUAUUGGGAAGAACACCAGUGGCGAAGGCGGCUAACUGGUCCGAUACUGACGCUGAGGUGCGAAAGCGUGGGGAGCAAACAGG
rnacentral:rRNA from 1 species